rnacentral:rRNA from 1 species
CCUACGGGAGGCAGCAGUGGGGAAUAUUGGACAAUGGGCGAAAGCCUGAUCCAGCAAUGCCGCGUGAGUGAUGAAGGCCUUAGGGUUGUAAAGCUCUUUUACCAGGGAUGAUAAUGACAGUACCUGGAGAAUAAGCUCCGGCUAACUCCGUGCCAGCAGCCGCGGUAAUACGGAGGGAGCUAGCGUUGUUCGGAAUUACUGGGCGUAAAGCGUACGUAGGCGGUUAUUCAAGUCAGAGGUGAAAGCCCGGGGCUCAACCCCGGAACUGCCUUUGAAACUAGAUAGCUAGAAUCUUGGAGAGGUUAGUGGAAUUCCGAGUGUAGAGGUGAAAUUCGUAGAUAUUCGGAAGAACACCAGUGGCGAAGGCGACUAACUGGACAAGUAUUGACGCUGAGGUACGAAAGCGUGGGGAGCAAACAGGAUUAGAUACCCUGGUAGUCCACGCCGUAAACGAUGAUAACUAGUUGUUCGGGCACUUGGUGCCUGAGUGACGCAGCUAACGCAUUAAGUUAUCCGCCUGGGGAGUACGGUCGCAAGNUUAAAACUCAAAGGAAUUGACGG